GUUUUAAUGUUUAGAUUUGUAGAUGUCAACAGUCUAUGGCAGGGAUAGAUCUAGAUUUCUUUCUUUUCUAUUAUUUUUCUUCAGAUUGUUAUGGUUGUUAAGCUGUGUUUGGUUGAUGAGAAAAACGGUGUGGAAUAUACCAAAUUGGUUUUCUUUUCUUUCAAUUUUGCUUUUCCGAGGAUUGUCUGACUUUUAGGGUUUCAUAGGUAGUUGCGAUCUGUUGGUGGGCAUUGGGUUGGUGAGAAAAUGUAGAGAAGGAAAGGGAAGUAAAAGAUUUUUAAAUUCCAUUUUAUUUUCUUUUAGUUAAUUCUCCAGAGUUCGGUGGAAAAUUAACUUAACUAGAGUGGACUGUUGUUUUGAACGGGUCCAGUUUCCUGAAUUUUUGGUUAAUUAAGAAGUAUGAAUGGAAUCAUUAGUAUCAAAUUGUGGUGCUUCGAUAUUGAGCUGGUGGUCUAUUGCAUUUCUAUUUUAAGUAAACCUGUGGAUUUGCGAGGACACAUACCUACAUCUUAGGGAUAUGAAUUACAUGCGAAAUAUGGAUGUUAUUCUCUUAAAUUUUGAUAUGGUUGAUAUCUUAUUUUGCUUGUAGCUAGUCUGUGUUUCCUAUUAAUGUAAUAUUCUUCGCCAAUACUCAUUAAUCCGGCUGAGAUGAAGUUUAUGCUUGGAAAGCCAAUAUAACACUAUCUUAACUAUGUGGAUAAAGUUAUUCUCAAAAAAAGGAACCAAAAAAAAAAA
rnacentral:misc_RNA from 1 species